AUUGAACGCUGCCGGCAGGCCUAACACAUGCAAGUCGAACGAGUGGCGGACGGGUGAGUAAUGUCGGGGAAACUGCAGGAUGGAGGGGGGUACGAAUGGAAACGGUAGAUAAUACGGCAUAACAAAGGAUGAGCCCAGAUGGGAUUCGCUAGUAGGUGGGGUAACGGCUCACCUAGGCGACGAGCCCUAGAUGGUCUGAGAGGAGGACCAGCCACACGGGAACUGGGACACUGUCCAUACUCCUACGGGAGGCAGCAGUGGGGAAUAUUGCACAAGGGGCGCAAGCCUGAUACAGCCCUGCCGCGUGUAUGAAGAAGGCCUUCGGGUUGUAAAGUACUUUCAGCGGGGAGGCGUUACCCGCAGAAGAAGCACCGGCUAACUCCGUGCCAGCCGCCGCGGUAAUAC
rnacentral:rRNA from 1 species